rnacentral:rRNA from 1 species
AUCAACGCUGGCGGCGUGCCUCAGACAUGCAAGUCGAACGAUUAAAGCUCUCUUCGGAGAGUGUAUAGAGUGGCGCACGGGUGAGUAACACGUAAGUAAUCUACCUUUGAGUGGGGAAUAACCCGGGGAAACCCGAGCUAAUACCGCAUAAUGCAGCGGCACCGCAAGGUGACAGUUGUUAAAGGAGCAAUCCGCUUAAAGAGGAGCUUGCGGCAGAUUAGCUAGNGGUAAGGUAAUGGCUUACCAAGGCUUCGAUCUGUAUCCGGCCUGAGAGGGCGGUCGGACACACUGACACUGAAUAACGGGUCAGACUCCUACGGGAGGCAGCAGUCGGGAAUUUUGGGCAAUGGGCGAAAGACCUGACCCAGCAACGCCGCGUGAAGGAUGAAGUAUUUCGGUAUAGUAAACUU